rnacentral:rRNA from 1 species
AUGGCCAACGUUGUCCUCAACUUCAACGCGUUCCUAGAGAAAACCAAGCUGAAAGACGAUGACAGCAACUAUACGGACUGGGUCCGGAACCUGAGGAUCAUCCUCAUAGCUGCCAAGAAAGAUUUUGUCCUACAAGCACCGCUAGGUGAAGCACCUGCUCUCCUUGCAGAACAAGAUGUUAUGAACGCUUGGCAGACACGUACCGAUGAUUACUCCCUCGUUCAGUGCGGCAUGCUUUACAGCUUAGAGCCGGGGCUCCAAAAGCAUUUUGAGAGACACGGAGCAUAUGAGAUGUUCGAAGAGCUGAAAAUGGUUUUUCAAGCUCAUGCCCGGGUCGAGAGAUAUGAAGUCUCCGACAAGUUCUUCAGCUGUAAGAUGGAGGAAAACAGUUCUGUCAGUGAGCACAUACUCACUAUGUCUGGGUUACAUAACCGCUUGACUCAGCUGGGAGUUAAUCUCCCGGAUGACGCGGUCAUUGACAGAAUCCUUCAGUCGCUUCCACCGAGCUACAAGAGCUUUGUGAUGAACUUCAAUAUGCAGGGGAUGGAAAAGACCGUUCCUGAAGUAUUUGCAAUGCUGAAAUCAGCAGAGGUAGAAGUCAAAAAGGAACAUCAAGAGUUGAUGGUGAAUAAAACCACUAAGUUCAAGAAAGGCAAGGGUAAGAAGAACUUCAAAAAGGACAAGGGAGUUGCCGCGCCCGGCAAGCAAGUUGCCGGAAAGAAGCCAAAGAAUGGACCCAAGCCCGAGACUGAGUGUUUUUAUUGCAAGGGAAGUGGUCACUGGAAGCAGAACUGCCCCAAAUACUUAGCGGACAAGAAGGACGGCAUCACGAAAGGUAUAUGUGAUAUACAUGUAAUUGAUGUGUACCUUACCAGUACUCGUAGUAGCUCCUGGGUAUUUGAUACCGGUGCGGUUGCUCACAUUUGUAACUCAAAGCAGGAGCUGCGGAAUAAGCGGAGACUGGCGAAGGACGAGGUGACGAUGCCCGUCGGGAAUGGUUCCAAGGUCGAUGUGAUCACCGUCAGCACGCUACCUCUACAUUUACCUACGGGAUUAGUUUUGAACCUCAAUAAUUGUUAUUUAGUGCCAAGUUUGAGCAUGAACAUUGUAUCAGGAUCUCGUUUAAUACGAGAUGGUUACUCAUUUAAAUCUGAGAAUAAUGGUUGUUCUAUUUAUAUGAGAGAUAUGUUUUAUGGUCAUGCUCCGAUGGUGAAUGGUUUAUUCUUAAUGAAUCUCGAGUGUAAUGCUACACAUAUUCAUAGUGUGAGUACCAAAAGAUGUAAGGUUGAUAAUGAUAGUCCCACAUACUUGUGGCACUGCCGCCUUGGUCACAUAGGUGUCAAACGCAUGAAGAAGCUCCAUGCAGAUGGACUUUUAGAGUCUCUUGAUUACGAAUCAUUUGACACAUGCGAACCAUGCCUCAUGGGUAAAAUGCGUCUUCAUAGGAUAGCCUAA